AUACUUGAUGGCUGAGUUUUAAGCGAUAGACUGUAGAUCUAUUAACGAAGUUAAUUCUUCUCUGUAUA
rnacentral:tRNA from 1 species